rnacentral:rRNA from 2 species
GAUUAUAAGCUUGCUUCUAUGACGUUAGCGGCGGACGGGUGAGUAACACGUGGGCAACCUGCCUGUAAGACUGGGAUAACUUCGGGAAACCGAAGCUAAUACCGGAUAGGAUCUUCUCCUUCAUGGGAGAUGAUUGAAAGAUGGUUUCGGCUAUCACUUACAGAUGGGCCCGCGGUGCAUUAGCUAGUUGGUGAGGUAACGGCUCACCAAGGCAACGAUGCAUAGCCGACCUGAGAGGGUGAUCGGCCACACUGGGACUGAGACACGGCCCAGACUCCUACGGGAGGCAGCAGUAGGGAAUCUUCCGCAAUGGACGAAAGUCUGACGGAGCAACGCCGCGUGAGUGAUGAAGGCUUUCGGGUCGUAAAACUCUGUUGUUAGGGAAGAACAAGUACGAGAGUAACUGCUCGUACCUUGACGGUACCUAACCAGAAAGCCACGGCUAACUACGUGCCAGCAGCCGCGGUAAUACGUAGGUGGCAAGCGUUAUCCGGAAUUAUUGGGCGUAAAGCGCGCGCAGGCGGUUUCUUAAGUCUGAUGUGAAAGCCCACGGCUCAACCGUGGAGGGUCAUUGGAAACUGGGGAACUUGAGUGCAGAAGAGAAAAGCGGAAUUCCACGUGUAGCGGUGAAAUGCGUAGAGAUGUGGAGGAACACCAGUGGCG